GUGGGGAAUCUUGCGCAAUGGGCGAAAGCCUGACGCAGCCAUGCCGCGUGAAUGAUGAAGGUCUUAGGAUUGUAAAAUUCUUUCACCGGGGACGAUAAUGACGGUACCCGGAGAAGAAGCUCCGGCUAACUUCGUGCCAGCAGCCGCGGUAAUACGAAGGGGGCUAGCGUUGCUCGGAAUUACUGAGCGUAAAGGGCGCGUAGGCGGACAGCUUAGUCAGAGGUGAAAGCCCAGGGCUCAACCUUGGAAUUGCCUUUGAUACUGGCUGUCUUGAGUUUGGGAGAGGUGAGUGGAACUCCGAGUGUAGAGGUGAAAUUCGUAGAUAUUCGGAAGAACACCAGUGGCGACGGCGACUCACUGGCCCAAUACUGACGCUGAGGCGCGAAAGCGUGGGGAGCAAACAGGAUUAGAUACCCCGGUAGUCC
rnacentral:rRNA from 1 species